AGAACGAACGCUGGCGGCAGGCUUAACACAUGCAAGUCGAGCGCCCCGCAAGGGGAGCGGCAGACGGGUGAGUAACGCGUGGGAACAUACCCUCCGGUUCGGAAUAGCUCAGGGAAACUUGGAUUAAUACCGGAUACGGUCGAGAGGCGAAAGAUUUAUCGCCGGAGGAUUGGCCCGCGUUCGAUUAGCUAGUUGGUGAGGUAACGGCUCACCAAGGCGACGAUCGAUAGCUGGUCUGAGAGGAUGAUCAGCCACAUUGGGACUGAGACACGGCCCAAACUCCUACGGGAGGCAGCAGUGGGGAAUAUUGGACAAUGGGCGCAAGCCUGAUCCAGCCAUGCCGCGUGAGUGAUGACGGCCUUAGGGUUGUAAAGCUCUUUCGCUAGGACGAUAAUGACGGUACCUAGACAAGAACGCCCGGCUAACUUCGUGCCAGCAGCCGC
rnacentral:rRNA from 1 species